CAGGAUUGGAGAAUCGCCUGCAGGGCUCGCAGCCGCGGUCCCACAGAGCAGCAGAGGGUCCAGAUCAGCAGAGGGUCCACACUUCCUGCCAGGGAAGAUCCAGGGCAGAAGGAGAAGAGGGCGGCCGAGGAUGAGAUGCUUGGAUGGCAUCACCGACUCGAUGGACAUGAACUUGGGCGAACUCUGGGAGAUGGUGAUGGACAGGGAGGCCUGGCGUGCUGCGGUCCAUGGGGUCGCAAAGAGUCGGACACGACUAAGCGACUGAACAGCAGCAACUACUCCCUUCCGAUGGGAAGCCUGGCUCCAGCCACAGGAAUCCUGGGGGUGAGGGGAGGCGUGGAAGCACCCCCAAGUGACUUUGGCUGUUUCUCAUUCUGGGUUGGUGAUCCCAAAGCUGCCUGUGGAGACUUCCCAGAGUGUUUCCAACACUUUAAAGCUUGCGCAGAUAGAAAUCAAGUGGAGACUUAAUGCACGUGUAUUUAAGAUUGAUCUGUUGCAGGAGCAUGUCCUCCUCUGUAAAGCCGUGGGUCAGCACAGCCUGGGACCUGCCCACCUGAGCAGGGAGAGGGGCCACCACUUGGACCGUGUGACCUUGAGCAGGUCAGUCAACCUCCCAGCCCCACAGCGACAGAGUCAGGGCCUUUCUCAUGCGUUUGGUGUGAGGGUUCAUUGAACUGAUGCUGGAAAGCACCCCAGGCAGUCCCAGAACCACAGUGAGCUCUACUCCACGAUUAGCGCUCCAGUCGUGGUCACUGCCAUAACACACCAUCUGACCAUACGCUCUUUGCUUGUCUGGGUUGCAUGAGCCGAGUAAAUAGCCCAGGUUGUUCCGAUUAAGUCUUCGAAGCUUAAAGACAGAGAUGUAGGUAACUAAUCAAAAGUAAAAGCGUUCCCUAAAAAAAGAUGAAUUUACUUUCUGGUUUUGACGAUGGACAUGUUAGAACUCUCAAGGUACACAAGGGUGUGAUCUCUUAUCCCUUCUGUGACCAGGUCAUAAAAGACGCGGGUUUCUUUCUCCUUAGCCUCCUCUGUUUCGUCGCAGCCUGCAUGCCUUAAUGAAGCGAGCUGCCGUGUAGAGGAGGCCCACGUGGCGCAGAACAGGGAGCAGACUCCAGCCAACAGUCCACAUGGGAGGGUCCGAGACCCUCAACCCAACAAGGGUCCAGGUGCUGCCAACAGCCUCCAAGUGCGCAUGGCAGCCAGUCCGUCCCCAGCGGAGCCUUCGGACCACAGACCCUGGGUCAGUGCCAGGACCUCGGCCUCUGGGACCACACAAAACAUGUAGCCGCCUGCACUCUGCCCACGCGCCUGACCACACAAACUGCGAGACGAGGCGACCACGUGUUAAGUUUGGGGUGACUUGUCACGCGGCAAGAGAUAACUGAGACACUGGCUCAGCUACUGCCACGUCAAGAACAAGUAAUGGAAUCUCAGCGAAAAG
ensembl:lncRNA